UAGUCGUUGAUCUCUACAAAGUCUGAGGAGACCAUCGGGGCUCUCCUUCAAACAGUGGAGACGUUUGGUGUCAGCUCAAUCAGAGACCGCCAGGGGGAGGUCCAAGGAGCUGCCUAUGGGACCAUGAAGAUGAGAGGUCAGAUAUGGUGGGCAUCCUUGUGGAACAUAUACGAACCUUCUAGAAGUCUGCCCCGUCUGCUGGCCCAAGUGCGAGACAUUUGGCACGAGAGUGCCGAUCCUGAGGAGCACAACAGCGGCGAACUGUGUCCUUGCUCCUUCACAGCAGCCCACCCUCCUCUACCCGAGCGACGACUUACAGUACCUCCAGCAGCAAGCCGUCUGCCUUCCUUUUAUUUCCCCUAGGCUGUCUGCUGCUGUAAUGUGACUCUGUGGUGGUGUCAUGGUUUUUUGUUACAAUCAGAUGAUUUUGAAGCAGGGCGAGUUACUGCAGGUUGCCAAACAGCAGGUUGAUAACAAUCUGCCCGAGGCCUUUAUAAACACCACGCCUUUGCUGGAAGGACAGGACCUUUUCAAGCUACAUAUCUAAACCAUUUGGUGUGUCAUACCUGUCCUAUUUCUUUUUAAUUUUAUGUAGGUCAGCCAGUGUCAUUCUACCUUGAAAACCCGAUGCCGGAUACUGUAGGUUCAAGGUUGAGGAGCACGGCUGGAAAAAGUGUGUCAUUAUGAAAACUUUACAUACAGGUCAAGGUUUCACCUGUACAGAGGCUGUUAACUGCCGGUACACUAUGAGAACGUACCUUGUGGUGAAGAAAAUACAUUGCAUACACUUUAAAGAGGAAGAGCUCUUCCUGUACCGCUGCUUUUGUUCAGCCGCACACCUCCUGUUCACCAUUCAUGUCUUUUCUUCUUAGCUCCGCUCUGGCUUGUCCGUUGCUUGCAUGCAUGAUGAAAGUUGAAUUCGAAGCCUUAACCGUUACACUUCAGGCUAGGAAGUAUCUUUACAAUCUGAAAAGAUGAAACACUCAAAAUACACACUGGUAUUUCCUGAGCUUGAAAAAGUUACGGCAUGUCAAAGUUCUUUCAUUUAGUGCUCUCUGCUCCAUUUUCAACAAGCCAUACCAGAGAGCCAGCUUUUGAACUUGUCUUGUUUUGGAAGGGGCUCAAAGUACAGUCCCCUGUGGCCUCGCAUUUGCCUAGGAGUUGAUGUCACUUGCCCUGCGCUCCAUC
rnacentral:lncRNA from 1 species